UCGAGCCGUACGAGGAGAAAACUUCUUAUACGGUUCUAGGGGGGGGGGUUCUUUUUUAUCUACAUCUAUCCCGAU
rnacentral:ncRNA from 1 species